AUACGGAGGAUGCAAGCGUUAUCCGGAUUUAUUGGGUUUAAAGGGUGCGCAGGCGGGCUGUUAAGUCAGCGGUGAAAUCUCCCGGCUCAACCGGGGAACUGCCGUUGAUACUGGCAGCCUAGAGUACAGACGGCGCCGGCGGAAUGUGUCAUGUAGCGGUGAAAUGCUGAGAUAUGCCACAGAACACCGAUCGCGAAGGCAGCUGGCGAGGCGGGAACUGACGCUCAGGCACGAAAGCGUGGGGAUCAAACAGGGUUAGAUACCCUGGUAGUCCACGCAGUAAACGAUGAAGACUUGUUGUCGGCGAUAGAAUGUCGGUGACAAAGCGAAAGCGAUAAGGCUUCCGCCUGGGGAGUACGAUCGCAAGGUUGAAACUCAAAGGAAUUGACGGGG
rnacentral:rRNA from 1 species